rnacentral:rRNA from 1 species
AUGCAAGUCGAGCGAAUGGAUUAAGAGCUUGCUCUUAUGAAGUUAGCGGCGGACGGGUGAGUAACACGUGGGUAACCUGCCCAUAAGACUGGGAUAACUCCGGGAAACCGGGGCUAAUACCGGAUAACAUUUUGAACCGCAUGGUUCGAAAUUGAAAGGCGGCUUCGGCUGUCACUUAUGGAUGGACCCGCGUCGCAUUAGCUAGUUGGUGAGGUAACGGCUCACCAAGGCAACGAUGCGUAGCCGACCUGAGAGGGUGAUCGGCCACACUGGGACUGAGACACGGCCCAGACUCCUACGGGAGGCAGCAGUAGGGAAUCUUCCGCAAUGGACGAAAGUCUGACGGAGCAACGCCGCGUGAGUGAUGAAGGCUUUCGGGUCGUAAAACUCUGUUGUUAGGGAAGAACAAGUGCUAGUUGAAUAAGCUGGCACCUUGACGGUACCUAACCAGAAAGCCACGGCUAACUACGUGCCAGCAGCCGCGGUAAUACGUAGGUGGCAAGCGUUAUCCGGAAUUAUUGGGCGUAAAGCGCGCGCAGGUGGUUUCUUAAGUCUGAUGUGAAAGCCCACGGCUCAACCGCGGAGGGUCAUUGGAAACUGGGAGACUUGAGUGCAGAAGAGGAAAGUGGAAUUCCCUGUG